CCAGGAGGCACUUUUUUCUUGCUUUUUCGCUGCCCGACCACAAUGAAAUCUUGGCAGCUAAUUGCAGUCGUGGGAGAUGCCCUUCAGGAUCCGCGCGCUGAGGGCAGCAGCUGCUUAAAUAAGGACAUCAGCACAAUUCCUGGACAGCAAAUGAAUUGUGACGGAGAGCCACUGAGGG